AUUGAACGCUGGCGGCAUGCCUUACACAUGCAAGUCGAACGGCAGCACGGGAGCAAUCCUGGUGGCGAGUGGCGAACGGGUGAGUAAUAUAUCGGAACGUGCCCAGUCGUGGGGAUAACGUAGCGAAAGCUACGCUAAUACCGCAUACGAUCUACGGAUGAAAGCGGGGGAUCGCAAGACCUCGCGCGAUUGGAGCGGCCGAUAUCAGAUUAGGUAGUUGGUGAGGUAAAGGCUCACCAAGCCGACGAUCUGUAGCUGGUCUGAGAGGACGACCAGCCACACUGGGAC
rnacentral:rRNA from 1 species